AAUGAAGUUGUACAGGUAGCCAGGUGUCGGUCUCCAGCCUGAGAACUCUGGCUGUUGAUCCUUGUGUCGUCCCAUAUUCCUGCCUGGCCUGCGAUGGACAUCAGCAAGGGCUUCCCAGGCAUGCAGGGAGGCCUCCACAUAUGGAUCUCUGAGAACCGGAAGAUGGUGCCGGUACCCGAGGGGGCUUACGGGAACUUUUUUGAGGAACACUGCUAUGUCAUCCUCCACGUUCCCCAGAGCCCGAAGGCCACUCAGGGGGCGUCCAGCGACCUGCACUACUGGGUCGGGAAGCAGGCGGGUGCGGAAGCGCAGGGCGCUGCGGAGGCCUUCCAGCAGCGCCUACAUGACGAGCUGGGGGGCCAGACCGUGCUGCACCGCGAGGCGCAGGGCCACGAGUCCGACUGCUUCUGCAGCUACUUCCGCCCGGGAAUCAUCUACAGGAAGGGAGGCCUAGCAUCUGACCUCAAGCAUGUGGAGACCAACUUGUUCAACAUCCAGCGACUGCUGCACAUCAAAGGGAGGAAGCACGUGUCUGCCACUGAGGUGGAGCUCUCCUGGAACAGCUUUAAUAAGGGUGACAUCUUCCUGCUGGACCUAGGCAAGAUGAUGAUUCAGUGGAAUGGGCCCAAGACCAACAUUUCUGAGAAGGCUCGGGGGCUGGCCUUGACCUACAGCCUCCGGGACAGGGAACGUGGUGGUCGUGCACAGAUUGGUGUGGUGGAUGAUGAGGCCAAAGCCCCGGACCUCAUGCAGAUCAUGGAGGCUGUGCUGGGCUGCAGGGUGGGCAGCCUGCGUGCCGCCACGCCCAGCAAGGAUAUCAACCAGCUGCAGAAGGCCAAUGUUCGCCUGUACCAUGUCUAUGAGAAGGGCAAAGACCUGGUGGUCCUGGAGUUGGCGACCCCCCCACUGACCCAGGACCUGCUGCAGGAGGAGGACUUCUACAUCCUGGACCAGGGUGGCUUCAAGAUCUAUGUGUGGCAGGGACGCAUGUCUAGCCUCCAGGAGAGAAAGGCUGCCUUCAGCCGGGCUGUGGGCUUCAUCCAGGCCAAGGGCUACCCGACCUACACCAAUGUGGAGGUGGUGAACGACGGCGCCGAGUCGGCCGCGUUCAAGCAGCUCUUCCGGACUUGGUCUGAGAAGCGGAGCAGGAACCAGAAGCUCGGCGGGAGGGAUAAAUCGAUUCAUGUAAAGCUGGACGUGGGCAAGCUGCACACCCAGCCUAAGUUAGCGGCCCAGCUCAGGAUGGUGGACGACGGCUCUGGGAAGGUGGAGGUGUGGUGCAUCCAGGACUUACACAGGCAGCCUGUGGACCCCAAGCGUCAUGGACAGCUGUGUGCAGGCAACUGCUACCUUGUGCUCUAUACAUACCAGAGGCUGGGCCGUGUCCAGUACAUCCUGUACCUGUGGCAGGGCCACCAGGCCACUGCGGAUGAGAUUGAGGCCCUGAACAGCAACGCUGAGGAACUAGAUGUCAUGUAUGGUGGCGUCCUAGUACAGGAGCAUGUGACCAUGGGCAGCGAGCCCCCCCACUUCCUCGCCAUCUUCCAGGGCCAGCUGGUGAUCUUCCAGGAGAGAGCUGGGCACCAUGGAAAGGGGCAGUCAGCAUCCACCACAAGGCUUUUCCAAGUGCAAGGCACUGACAGCCACAACACCAGGACCAUGGAGGUGCCAGCCCGUGCCUCAUCCCUCAACUCCAGUGACAUCUUCUUGCUGGUCACAGCCAGCGUCUGCUACCUCUGGUUUGGGAAGGGCUGUAAUGGUGAUCAGCGUGAGAUGGCACGAGUGGUGGUCACUGUCAUUUCCAGGAAGAACGAGGAAAUGGUGCUGGAGGGUCAGGAGCCUCCCCACUUCUGGGAGGCCCUGGGAGGCCGGGCCCCCUACCCCAGCAACAAGAGGCUCCCUGAGGAGGUCCCCAGCUUCCAGCCACGACUGUUUGAGUGCUCCAGCCACAUGGGCUGCCUGGUCCUCGCAGAAGUGGUGUUCUUCAGCCAGGAGGACCUGGACAAGUAUGACAUCAUGUUGCUGGACACCUGGCAGGAGAUCUUCCUGUGGCUUGGGGAAGCUGCAAGUGAGUGGAAGGAGGCGGUGGCCUGGGGCCAGGAGUACCUGAAGACCCACCCAGCAGGGAGGAGCCCGGCCACACCCAUCGUGCUGGUCAAGCAGGGCCAUGAGCCUCCCACCUUCAUUGGAUGGUUCUUCACUUGGGACCCUUACAAGUGGACUGCCCCUCCUGUGUCCCAUUGGUGCCCCUUCUCCUGCCCUGGCCCUGAUACUUGCCCCGAUUCUUGCUCCAGAGCCACCCGUCCCACAAGGAAGUGGUGGAUGGCAGCCCGGCAGCAGCAUCAACCAUCUCUGAGAUAACAGCAGAAGUCAACAACUUCCGGCUAUCCAGAUGGCCGGGCAAUGGCAGGGCAGGUGCCAUGGCCCUGCAGGCCCUCAAGGGCUCCCAGGACAGCUCAGAGAAUGAUCUGGUGCGAAGCCCCAAGUCGGGUGGCAGCAGAACCAGCAGCUCCGUCAGCAGCACCAGCGCCACGAUCAACGGGGGCCUGCGCCGGGAACAACUGAUGCACCAGGCUGUUGAGGACCUGCCAGAGGGCGUGGACCCUGCCCGCAGGGAGUUCUAUCUCUCAGACUCUGACUUCCAAGAUAUCUUUGGGAAAUCCAAGGAGGAAUUCUACAGCAUGGCCACGUGGAGGCAGCGGCAGGAGAAAAAGCAGCUGGGCUUCUUCUGAACCCAAGCCCUCUCGACUGCCCCUAUCCCCUGGACCCCAACAUACCUACAAUGCUGGGGAGGCCCUGCUUCCACUCCCCUCAGAGGCUUCUGGUCAUCCUCUGCGUGUCAGUAAAAGCAGGCAGCCCA